CCCAGCUCGUCAUGCUAGAGCACUUUUUCAAUGUGCUCCCCAACGAGAAGGCUACGACGCAUUCACAUGUCAAUCCAUAUGAACUUUCGAUGCUAUUGACUGCGCCUACCAUGGUGACCACAGAUAACGGGGAAUCAGGGUUCGAUUCCAUACAGGGACCCUGACAAAUGGCUACCACAUGCAAGGAAGGCAGCAGGUGCGCAAAUGACCCACUCCCGACUCCCGAAGGUAGUGACG